rnacentral:rRNA from 1 species
UAACGUAGCGAAAGUUACGCUAAUACCGCAUACGAUCUAAGGAUGAAAGCGGGGGAUCGCAAGACCUCGCGCGAUUGGAGCGGCCGAUAUCAGAUUAGGUAGUUGGUGAGGUAAAGGCUCACCAAGCCAACGAUCUGUAGCUGGUCUGAGAGGACGACCAGCCACACUGGAACUGAGACACGGUCCAGACUCCUACGGGAGGCAGCAGUGGGGAAUUUUGGACAAUGGACGCAAGUCUGAUCCAGCCAUUCCGCGUGCAGGAUGAAGGCCCUCGGGUUGUAAACUGCUUUGUACGGAACGAAAAGGUUUGUCUUAAUACGAUGAGCUCAUGACGGUACCGUAAGAAUAAGCACCGGCUAACUACGUG